UCACCCGCGGGUAAUAUUAUGUAACACCGGAAACGUUAACUAGCGUCGGAAAAGGACAAUUGAGCUUUGCUCGGUCUUCAGUCGGGGCCGGGAGGGACAUUUUCCACUUUUUUCCCCUCCGGUAGUAGCCUGCUGUGAGAGAGUUUUUUUGUGUUUUUUCGGCUCCGAAGAGCAACUACAAUUUAUUUUAGUUAUAUCCUACGUGGUGUAGUAGGAAGUUAUUCUCUGGAUUUGUCACCAUACCUUAAGGACAUUGCUGCCUUGGAAAGGGUGCAACGUAGGACUACAGGAAUGAUUCCCAAUCUUAGAUGAAUGUCUUAUGAAGAGAGAUUAGCUGAGCUGAAUCUGUUCAGCCUCGAGCAAAGGAGAGACAUGAUCCAGUGGAACUUAUAUACAGUGAUGAACAGAAAAGCAUCUCUGAAUGUAAAACUUGCCCAACCUUGAGGUGGAUGGCCAGCAGAAGACCACAUCGGGUUCUGUUCCUGUCAGCUAAGAACAGGGAACCUGAGGCAACUGGACAGUUGAAGACAGUUGACAGUUUAAGUUGGAAAAAUGUCACCUGGUCUGACAAAUUGAAAUUUGUCCUGCAACAUGAAAAUGAAUGACAGCAUAUGUGAAGGAAACCCCUUCAGCAUUGAACUUUUGACUGAAGACUUGCUGCUUUCACUACCAUAAACCAUAAAUCUAGCAAGACCACAGACAGAACUACUGGCCUGGACUGCAGAAAACUAAACAGAGAACUGAUCUACAAAAGGUAUGAUGACCCAUAGAUGGCCUGAUACAGCAUGGCACUGUACAAAACACACACUACUUUCUGGCCUGUAUAUUGUCAGUAUGCUCAGAGGAGUUCCGUGUUUAUUUCUCAUCAAAUUAUGGAGUCUUGUUUCCUCCAUUGUCUUCUGGGUCUUAUUUACUAAUG